UUGGUUUACUGAUAACAACUUAUUGUUAAAUGCAAACAAAACUAAGUGCAUUAAAUUUACCUUACCUAAUGUGAGGCAGGUUCCCACACAAUUGAUGGUGAAGAAUGAACCAUUAAGUAGCAUAAGUUCCACAACAUUCUUGGGAAUCACUUUAGACUCUAAACUUCAGUGGGGUCCUCAUAUUGAAACCUUGUCAGCAAGGCUCAGUUCAGCUGCUUUUGCAG